rnacentral:lncRNA from 1 species
ACUUUAGCGACACGUGACACUCGAAAUCCCAUCCGGAAAAUCAUUGAGAUUACAUAUCGACAAGAAAUCUGGAGAGUUACUCACUUUAGCGACACAUGACACUUGAAAUCCUAUCCGAAAAAUUAUUGAGAUUACAUGUUGACAAGAAAUAUGGAGAGUUACCUCACUUUAGCGACACAUGUCACUUGAAUUUCUAUCCGAAAAAUUAUUGAGGUAGUUUAAUUUAAGUAACCAUAUUAAUUCAAUUAAAAUAAUAAAUUAUGUUUGGUGUAUGACACUUUGGCCCUCUCAGUUGGAGAUGUUUUUUGUCACAGGGAUAUGUUUAGCCUAUGGCCCUUUGGUCCUCUCGAUUGGAGAUGGUAAGAAAUAUGACCUGACACUGUUCAUUAAAAUAUUAAUUUCUUAAAGGGCUAUAGGGCUAAAGGGAGCCCUUUGACCCUCAUUCGGUUGGAGAUGACCUUAGCCUCCCAAUGUUUACAUUGCUCAAUAAUUUGCUUUGGUGCCUAUAUGUACUACUACCAGUAGUAGUAAGGUAAGUACAUUUACUCUUGCAUUCGAUAUUCCGAGUUUCUAAACUUUCAAUCUGCAAAACAAAUGUUCCCUUACAUAUGUAUAACAUAUUGUUAAUAGAAGGAUCUCCACCAAAAAGAAGUUGUACGGUUAAAGGAUGGAUAACUUUCCCUGUCUAGUCUAGUCUUCUAUUUUGUAUCCUUAAACUACCACUACAACAAAAUAUACCUUAAGACAGCAUCUCAUUAACAACAUACACUUAACCCACCUUGUUAAAUAUUAAUUAGAACAACAUGCACAUCUUAUAUGCAUCCUGUUGUAAAAUGUCAUUUUCUUUCAACAACAUCAUUGCAUGUUGUCUAUAGCUUUCGUGUACUAGAUUUUUAUUUUUGUGAUAUUUAUAUAUCUCCACAAUUGGACAGAGUUGUCUUCUUCUUUUUUUUGUUUUUGUUUUUUUUUGUCUAGAUGGAGCCGGAUACCGGAAUAGUUCUGGAACUCCCUCACAAAUGAAACACAUCAGAGGUAUGUACACUACUGAAAGUCCAAGAGAGAUGACACUUAUCAAGUGCCGUCAUGAAAAUAAAAUAUGAUCGAGAAAUUUCUGAUUGAGUUAACAUCAAAGUAUUAAUUACCCCACGCCUAUGUAGUCUAAUAUGAUAAUCUUAAUAAAUAUAUUGUCUUGCUUGUGAGUAAGCAAUAUCAUAAUCAACCUCUCAUUAUCUCGGCCUCAAUAAUCAAUCCAAAGGGAUGCUGCAAAGUAGCAAAAAACUCAAAGACUCAAACAUCAAUUUCUAACUUCUUUUGGCGUCAUUUUUCAUCAUCAUAAUGUCAUAAAAAUGUGAAUUGUAAUAUUGUGUGGGAUAAUACUUGAUCAAAUAUAAUUAAUGAUCGGAACCAUUCAAUUUAUUUAAUAUUCAUAUGAAGAUCAAUUCUACAAAAAUUAUUGAAUUGUAGAUCAUUUUAUCAUCCAAAUGUAUCAAAUAAAUGAUUAGUUCAUUAUGAAUAUAUUAUUUGGUACCUACAUCGUCAAAUUUUUUUAUUCAUUUGAAUGACUAAAUAGUCUUCAACUAAAAUGAUUUUUCAGGGAUGAUUUUAAAAAAAAGAUUAAGAAUUUAAACUAUUACGAUUAUGAAAUUUGUACGGUCAAAAUAUUUAUUUCUAAAACAAAGGAAUAAUACGAGUAUUAUCCUUUUGUGUGUCACGGACGGACGUGGUUACGCAAGUGUGUGUAUAUAUAUAUAUAUUCGAAGUUAAAUUAGUCUAAUUUUUCGAUAUUCCUAAGUCUCCUUUGGUGACUUCAAAAUCGUAGCACCUUUGGUUCACUCAUUCUUUUCCAAGAAAAAUGUUCUUUUUCUUUUGUUAUCCUUCCCCCUUUUAGCCAAAUGUAGUAUUUCGACACAAGAGUAUAUUUUUCUUGAAUAAAGGUAUAACUUGAGAACAUAUAACUUGAGAACAUAUACUGAAAAUCCAAGAAAAUUGUCUACCUAUGAAAGUAUAUGGAAACUUGAUAAAUAAAGGAAUUGAUCGAUAAGUUUAUGAAUAAACUAAGAUUAGAGAGUCAAUUUAAAACCUAAUUGAUAAUUUAAUUGAUAAUGACCCCACGUCUAACAGGAUUCUAUUACGAUAAUCUAAGUUAUUAAUGUUUCAUUGGCGAGUUAUCAACCCCAUUAUCUCAGACUCAACAAUGGAUCCAGGGCUGCUGGCUACCGCAAAAGAUGCAGACAUCAUUUAACUUCUUUCAGUGUCAUGUUUUCAUCAUCAUAAUGUCAUCAACAAGUAUUAUGUCCAAGCCAAUUUGAAUUGUAAUAUCUAGUGUAUGCAUGAUGCAUGGAUUAUGGAAAUGGCUACGUACCAAUAUAUAAUAUACACAUACAUCCUCAAACUUAAUUAUUUACUAGCUAGCUAGUCCAGGUUUUCUCAACUUACAGUAUCUUGUGGCGACUUCAAAUUUCAAGUUUUUUAACACCUAAUUGUUAUCACAGUGAAAAUUACCUUUUCUUUUCUUGUUUUUCUUCCUUCCCCUGAUGAGUGGAUAUUAAUUUAUAUUUUUACCAUAUUUUAGUUAUAAUUUAUUUGUUAUUUUAGUAAAAUUUUAACACUUUGCUUUUUUUUUUUUUUUUUUUGACAAAAACUUUGCUCUAUAUUUCAAUUGUAGGACAUGCGAAUCUACUUUGGGCAUAACGCAAUGAAACGGAGGAAUUUUGGAGUAAAACCACUUGCAGUAGAUUCAUGAGUCCUUGAAGAUGACUGUAUCAAAAUUCCGGAUUUUAUUUUCAAGCCGUUUGAUCAUGGCGAAUAAAAUGCGCAGUUUUCCCAGAUUGAUGUUUUGGAAGAUUUUGGACGUUUUAUCAGUCAAGAAGGCAUUUUGAAAGGAUUGUUUCUUUUGAGAACUUGAGGAGGACAUGUUAAGAUUUAAAAAGAGACCCUUUAGGACCAAAUCUAAGAUGAUUCAGUCGGUCAAAAGAGAGAUUUUCUCCAAUUUAAUUAUUUUUAAGUAAUAAAUGAAAAUAAUUUACUUUGUACAUGAACAGUGGUUAAUGACAAAUCUACAUAUAAAUAAAUGUUUGGGGUGAGUGAUUGGCGCACCUUCUACAUCUCAAAAUGAAAUAGUUUGUUCUGAUGGUCACAUUUUUUGAGUCGGUGAUCACCGGUUAUGUGAUAGCUAGACUUUAUAAAUUAAAAAAGAAAAACUAUAUAUAUUGCUUUCAAAUUUAACAAUUUUUUUUAAUAAGAAUGUAGGAUAUUAAUUAAGAUGCCGAUAAAGUAUAUAAAAAGGGAUAAAACAUAAGAAAAGAAGUGAACAUCUGAAGUAAAAAAAAAAACCACGCCGGAACUUUCUAACCGGAAUCAAGGGAAAAAGAGACUGCCACUGAAGAAUAAAAGAUUUUAAAAUGUAAUCACUCAAUAGACAUCCUCAAUCAAAAUGUUUACUAACAUGUCUGGUGGUUCCUCAAACCAAGCCGCCUAAUGUUACUCUCCAAUUCCUGCUCUUGCAAGCCAAUGUACGUGCUGCCUGAUUUGCUUCUCUCCUAACAUGACCAAGCUUGGAUUGAGAGAAACCUCGAAAGAAUGAGCAAAUAUCAUUAAUUAUUGGCCCCAUAUUAGAUGUAUCAUCACUCUGCUUGUUGCAUAUAUAUAGCAACUAUGGCAAGGAUAGAAUCUCCUUCAAACUCCUCUACAAACAUGACAACCCUUUUAUACUAAUCAUAUUUGAUGAUUAAUUAAUUGAAAUUUACUAAUUUAAAACUUUGUCAAACUGUCACUUAGUACUAAGGACUAGUGAUAUUCCUCUUCACUUGUAAGCAUUGUUCUAAAAAUUCCUGCUUAGCGCUUGUUGAAAUAUCACACAUCGACUGCAUCUAUAAGAAAAGAAGAGUUUAAAUAUCCUAAACCUCACUCUAACUAACACCAAUGUCUUUUGUGAUAAAACCCUAUACCUGACGAAUUGUGUAGGUGAUAAUUAUCAAGUUGGGCACAAUAUUUGUGUUGGAAGUGGGUCUUUGGCCAGUUUAUUUGAUAAUUUUACAUGGUAUUAGAGUCAUAGAGUGGGACCAUACUGCUACGUGAUGGAUGCGUCCUUUUGGCCCCGCCCGAUGAUGGUGGGUCCCUUGGCUACGGGUGUAAAGUGAGUCCCCUUGACUCCACGUGGUUGUCAAUUUGUGGAUUUCCCAUGUGUGACCCACUAAUUGGGUCUCACAUGAGGGGUGUUAACUACAUAGCAAAAGAUGAAAGAUUGAUACAGUUUACAGAAGAAGAAGAUGAGAGAGAAAGAAACAAGAGAGAGAUGUAGAGGAAAAUGAAGGAGAAGGAUUGUCUGCCCUCCUCUUUCCAUACUCUCCCUAUGCCCUCCUGUUUUGUGCGGUCACGGUUAAGCCAUGUCAACAUUUUAUAUUAAUUUUUAUAUAAAAAUAAUAAGACAAAAAGCAAAUGUUGACGUGGCUUAACCGUGACCGCACAAAACAGGAGGGUAUGGGGAGGGUAUGGAGAAAGGAGGGCAGACAAUCCAUCUCCGAAAAUGAAAGCUCUUGAAUUGAUUAAUCUUUAUGAUACAACAUUUCUAGCUAUAUAUACAAACACACUUAACAACUUAACAAACUUCUAACAAAGCUAACAACUAAAUACGUCAAAUGAUGCCAUUUGUCCAUUGCCAUCCAACAUACUUAAUAGUGACACAUGUCAUUUUAUACCCCCCUCAAUCCCAACAGGAGAAACCCAUUUUGAGAUUAGAAGAACAUUUGCAAUCACUACUUAAAGCUAAACUCUGAAGAAAAACCCAAUCAUCUGUCUCUUGUUGAUCUUGAAGCUCAAAACAUUUGAGUGUAAAGUUUAUACCCAUCCAACAUACCAGAUAGUACAUGCCUUGCAAACUCGAUUACAUUAGAGUCAUUAAACCCUUCAGAAACCAAAUUUACAUCCUUGAGCUGAGAUAUAAAAUUUAGGUUUUGGAGUUGCCAAAACCCCUAUCAAAUCCAUGUUCUGGUAUUCCAAACAAAUAGAAUUCGUAAAUAUCCAAACCGUUGACCCUCAAAUUAAUGUCUCCACCUCUGUAGCUACUUGACCAAAAUCCUCUGUCUGUGGAAACAGUCCAAAUUUGUUCCAUUGCCUUACUGUAAAGCAAAACCUUUAAAACAUAAUGCAUGAACCAAUUCUUCAAGACUUGAAACAAUUAUGAUGCACAUAUCCAGAAAUCAUGACACCCUGUAUUUGUUUGCCUCUAACAGAAAGCUUGACACAGACUAACCUUCUAUAAAAAGUCGUAGCACACCUUCAUGCUGGUAUAAGAACUUCUUAUGAGAUUACCCUUUCAUGGGAUUUACCGUCAACAAUCUCAUUCAACAUUGGCUUCGGCCUUUAAUAUUUACAAAAACAGAAAAUUAACAAAAUAUAGUGUGGUAUCGGCUUUAACUAUAGUACCACGGGAUUGUCAUUUGUGGAUUUUACCAGAAACAACUUUUCUUAACAAUGGCAUUAGCCUUCACAAUUUCAAGAAUAGAAAAUCAACAUCUAUGUAGGAUUACCCUUCGUGGGAUUUACCUACUCAUAACACGGGAUUACCCUUCGUGGGAUUUAACAUCAACAACUUCUUCAAACUUCAUCUUUUUAAGACACAUACAACCGGACUUCUUAUAGAUACAUGCUACAACUAAGCUUGUUAGACUUGAUAUUAUAGGUUGUGAUGGAGCAAAAAAAAACAAAAAACAAAAAACAAAAAAUUCACGAACUCCUCAGUAAUCUUUUCCAGACAUCGCACUUCUCAAUUUGGCACAAGUCAGUGGUAGUAAUUUCAAGUUUCAAGAAGCAAUUAAGAAUAAAGUAGUCUUCAGGCAAAGAAACAUGAGCAAUUGGAUAUAUAGACCAUAUCUCCAAAUAACACAAAUCACUAGUAGAUACAUCAAUUUACCAAGAAUUAGGAUUUUGGCGCAUUAAGAGAAAGUUGACAAACUUUGGAGAUGUAGAAGUAAGCACAACAGGAUCAUGGAGAGAAAGCCAGAAUAUUCGUACCCAUCUCAUUGUCUCUUAGAGCCUAAGAAAAAUCGUCAAACACCUGGUGUGCUAAAGUACCAGGGAUAUCUACUUGCACAAUAACCCAAUUGUGGAUCCAAAGAACAAGCUUUGUGUCUUAAAAUUUCAUUAACUGUUGAUAGUUCGAUCAAGAAAUGAAAGCAAGAACGUGAAAUUAAACCAAGAAUUCAGAACGAAAUCAUACCCUAAAGUCCAAAUAUAUCACAUUGCUGAAAUCACUUCAUCUCUGAAAUCACAGGCUACGCACGGAAAAUGAAAAACCUAUACAUGAUCUUGACGUUGUUGAGUAAAAAUUGGGGUGGUGAUGUUCGAUGGUUGGGAAAAGGACAAGCAGCAGUGCGGACAAGCCUCUGUUUUAGUAGUCGGGCAGUUGAAGGCCUUAAUUGAAAAAUCUCUUGCUAUGGUCACGACCCGUCUUUGGAGCCCUUCUAAGAUGAUGUCAACAACGAUGAUUAGCCUGACCGAGACCAGUCUUAGACUCCCGUCCACUAUGAAUCAUCAUCACUGCCUUCUUAGAAAUUUCAUUUUCUUUCCUUGUAUUAGGAGGAUAAGAACUUGAUGAAAAUAUGAAAAGACCCCGAAUUCAAGAACCAACAAUUUAAGAACUGAAAAUUAAACCAGAAGGUACAUAACAAACUGAACCAUUGUGGAAGCAUUGAAGAAAUUAACGGAAUUUCUAACAAAAAUUAGAAAAGAAAUAAAGACUAGAAAGAGAUGAAACUAACGAGAAGUGGAACUAGCAGAAUCCAUGGUGUGAACGUGGCUCUGAUACCAUGUUAACUACAUAGCAAAAUAUGAAAGUUUGAUGCAGUUUACAGAAGAAGAAGAUGAUAGAGGGAGAAACAAAGGAGAGAUGUAGUAGAAAAUGAAAGCUCUUGAAUUGAUUAAUCCUUCUGAUACAAUAGUUCUAGCUAUAUAUACAAACACACUUAACAACCUCACAAACUUCUAACAAAGCUAACAACUAAAUACAUUAAAUGAUGCCAUUUGUCCAUUGCCAUCCAACAUACCGGAUAGUGACACACAUCACAAAUCAACCAUAUCUCUGAGAAAAAAAGAGAUUAAAUAUCCUAACCCCCACUCCAACUAAUACCAAGGCCAUUUGUGAUAAAACCACACACCUAAAAGAUUGUGUAUGUGAUAAUUACCAAGUUAGAGAUUAUAUUAGUGUUGUUGGAAGUGGGUCUUUAGUCCGUCUCUCUGAUAAUUCUACAUGGUAUAUUAGAAACAGGGAGCGGGCUCGUAUUGCCACGUGAUGGGUGGAUCUUAUUGGCCCCUUGCGAUGAUGGUGGGUCCUUGGUUAUGCAUGUAGGGUGAGUCCCCUUAGCUCCAGGUGGUUGUCAAUUUGUGGAUCUCCCACGUGUGACCCACUAAUUGGAUCUCAUGUGAGGAGGCGUGUUGAAAUAUCACACGUUGACUGUAUCUCUGCGAAAAGAAGAGCUUAAGUAUUUUAACCCUAGUCCAACUAAUACCAUGACUAUUUGUGAUAAAACCCCACACCUGACGGAAUGUCCAUGUGGGGGCUAAGUGGCUGACCACUGCCCCAAUUUGUCCCUAGACGUUUGAAAAUUAAUAAAGGACGCUUAGGCGUUUGCCUAAUCCGCCUAGAUCCUCCUAGGCACCUGCCUAGGUUGUGACUCUUACGUAUAGAGAAAAUCGAUAACUUUAAUUUUGCAUUUUUUUUAAUAAAAUGUAAGAGACUUGUUGAAUAAUUGGAUGAACACUCAUUAUAUGCUUGUUCCACAUAUUUUCAGAUGAACACUCAUUACAUGCUUGUUCCCCAUAUUUUCAAUGUGUUCUAAUAUUUUAUAAUAUGUAUGUCAUUUUAUUUUGCAAUUUAUGUAUCCCAAUGCAACUAUGUGUUUUUUAAGUAUAAAUAGACACUUAUUUAUACAUAUAUAAUAAAUUAUUUAAAUCCUCAUAUGCCCUAGCCUACUGCCCAACUAGCGCCUAGCGUCUUUUAAAACCUUACUUAUAAGUGAGAGGUUUUAGAUUUGAUUCUCGCUAAAGGUGAAUUUGAACUACAUAAUUAUGGCUCACCCAUUGUGAGGCUUAGCUCACUCUUUCAUCCCCUUAGUGUAGAUAAUAUCGUUUGUUAAAAUAAAACCUAUCAAACUAAUCUAAACACACAAUUAGAGGUGUGUUUUAUUUAGGGUUUUUAUCACAAAUGGUCCCUGACAUUCACUACCGCACAUCAAUUUGGUCUUUUUGUUAAAAUUUCAUCAACUAUGUGGGACCCACAAAUCCAAUGAAUUGAUGACAAGUGGAUUACAUAAAAUAAGGGUUUUUAUCGCAAAUGGUCCCUGACAUUGAGCCAACUCCUCAUUUUGGUCCUAGGUUUCAAAAAUCGAUAAAUUUGGUCCUUGAAUUUCAAUAUCGCACAUUAAUUUAAUCCUUCCGUUAAAGUUUCGUCAAUAUCUUUUGUCCCACUAACUCAAUCAUAUGACGCAACAUGGAUUAACUAUAAGAAACUGUUUUUUUUAAGAUUUAAAACUAAAAGUAAAAUAAGAAACUAAAAACCAAAACCAUAAGAAAAAAAAAGCCAUCGUCGUCUUCAUCAAAGUAUGCUAAAAAAGAAAAAGAAGGCACCAUGAUACCACUAAAGUACUUGGCCUCCUGAACUCACUCCUCAUUCUAUCUAGUUGGCUAUAAUCCUAUCAUAUUUGAAUUGAAUUUGGAUUUGAUUUUAUUGCAUUUAGAUUGAUUUUUUUUCCUUCCAAUUGGGGUUGUGGGAUGGGAGAAAAAUGUUAGCGAGGAAUACUCGUCUGUUGGUUCACUCUUAAAAAAUAUAGUUUCUUAUAGUUAAUUCACGUGGAGCCAUAUGAUUGGAUUAGUGGGAUCACAUCAGCACAUAAAUGAAAAAUAUUGAUGAAAUUUUAACGGAAUGACUAAAUUAAUGUGUGGUAGUGAAAGUCAGGGACCAAAUUUAUCGAAUUUUGAAACUCAUGAACCAACAUGAGUAGUUGGAUCAAUGUCAGGGACCAUUUGUGAUAAAAAAAACUCUUAUUUUAUGUAAUUCACGUGUUACCAUUUCAUUGGGUUUGUGGGUCUCACAUACAAACUUAUAGAAUAGUUGACAGAAUCUUAACGGAAGAACCAAAUGAUGUGGGGUAGUGAAUGUCAGGGGCGACAUUGAUUGAUUUUGAAAGUGAUGGGCCAGAAUGAUGAGUUUGAUCAAUCUCAUGACCUAUUUAUGAUAAAAAUCCUUCUAUUUAUAUGGAAACCGAUGUGUUGAAAGGAGUAUUACUGGCCUUUGUGGUACGAGUAAAUUGUCAAUAUUUUGUAGUCAUUUUAUCAACUUUGUCCAUAUUUAUGCUUAUACAAUAUACCAAGUACUGGAAUUGGAUCCUCUCUGAGGCAAACCCUCAGGAUCCUCUUGACCCAAUAACACGGAUCAUUGGAUUUUGAUCAAAUGGCUACAAUUAUUAUAACUUUUAGAGGAACCUCCCUGUUUGUAGCUGUUGGAUUGAUCCAACGGUCCGUGUUAGUGGGUCAGGAGGAUCCCAAUGGUUUGCCUCGGAGAGGAUCCAAUUCCCCAAGUGCUUUAGACUUACUUCAUUUUCACAAUAUUAUAGUUGAAAAGUGUUAUUCCCACACUUAUUGUCACCUCACACACUCUUAUUAAUUUUUUGUUAUUGAUCUUAUUUAAUUCAUUUUAUCUAACGACCAAA